GAACGAAGCACCUGAGAAUGAUUCUUCGGAUGAAGUCUCUUGUGACUGAGUGGCGGACGGGUGAGUAACGCGUGGGUAACCUGCCUCACACAGGGGGAUAACAGUUGGAAACGACCGCUAAUACCGCAUAACCCGCUGGUGCCGCAUGGCACUGACGGAAAAGAUUUAUCGGUGUGAGAUGGACCCGCGUCUGAUUAGCCAGUUGGCAGGGUAACGGCCUACCAAAGCGACGAUCAGUAGCCGGCCUGAGAGGGUGAACGGCCACAUUGGGACUGAGACACGGCCCAGACUCCUGCGGGAGGCAGCAGUGGGGAAUAUUGCACAAUGGGGGAAACCCUGAUGCAGCGACGCCGCGUGAGUGAAGAAGUAUUUCGGUAUGUAAAGCUCUAUCAGCAGGGAAGAAAAUGACGGUACCUGAUUAAGAAGCCCCGGCUAACUACGUGCCAGCAGCCGCGGUAAUACGUAGGGGGCAAGCGUUAUCCGGAUUUACUGGGUGUAAAGGGAGCGUAGACGGUGAUGCAAGUCAGAAGUGAAAGCCCGGGGCUCAACUCCGGGACUGCUUUUGAAACUGUGUGACUGGAGUGCAGGAGAGGUAAGCGGAAUUCCUGGUGUAGCGGUGAAAUGCGUAGAUUUCUGGAAAAACACCAGUGGCGAAGGCGGCUUACUGGACUGUAA
rnacentral:rRNA from 1 species